rnacentral:lncRNA from 1 species
AAAGCAAGUUUAGCCCCCUCUCGAUCAAAUUGGGCACUUCUCAACUGGAUUAUAACGAAUUUAUAAUUAACUAUGGAGCAAUCCCAACAAAAGAAAACAACACAAAAGAGAGAGAAGCACUAGCAUAAGAAAUUCCCUAAAUAGUGUUUAUGUGUGUUUUUUGGACAACAGGCAACAUAUGAUCACUCUAUAUUCAGCUCAUCCAAGGAAUACACAGUAUUGCAUGAAGUCAUACAGAUUCCCCUUUAGUAGUUUACUGUUUGCAACCUUCAAGUCUGCUAUUACCCUAGCUCAUUUGAGUGCGGUAAAGUGGAAAGAUAUCACAUCAGUUAGAAGAUAUACGACUCCUCUUAAGAAGAAGAAAAUCUGAAAAUGAAUAUGCUUUUUAUACUGUGCAUUUACAGUAUAAUUAAUUCUAAGAAACAUCAUAUGGCUCCUCUUAAGUUUGGUGUGAAUGCUGAAUGUUAGGAUUUUACUUUGGACUUUUACCUUCUUUAUAGUAUAAAUAGUUCGAAGGAAUGCGAGAAUAGGUCUCAAACAAAGUUCUGCUUGUUUGACAUGAAAGUAUCAUGUUAAUGAAAAUUAUGUACAAACUUAUUUCAUCUGUAUUAUCUCCUGGUUUUGUAGAAAAAUAUAAGCAUGAUUUCAUUGAAGUGGGAUGAUGGUUGCAAU